rnacentral:rRNA from 1 species
CGCCUCUUGACAAACUUAUAAGAGGUCCAGCCUGCCCAGUGACUCUGUUCAACGGCCGCGGUAUCCUAACCGUGCGAAGGUAGCGUAAUCACUUGUUCUUUAAAUGAGGACUAGUAUGAAUGGCACCACGAAGGUUAUACUGUCUCCUUUUUCUAAUCAGUGAAACUAAUCUUCCCGUGAAGAAACGGGAAUAAAAAUAUAAGACGAGAAGACCCUAUGGAGCUUUAAACAAAUAUACACCUGCCUCCUUACCAAAAAUUUCAGAAGACAAGUAAUUACCCGGGCAUUUUGAUAUAGCGUUUUAGGUUGGGGUGACCGCGGAGCAAAAAACAACCUCCGCAGCGAACGGGAGUAUUCCCUAAACCAAGGGCCACAACCCCAAGUAUUGAUAAAUCAACACUAAUUGACCCAAUAAAUUUGAUCAAUGAACCAAGUUACCCUAGGGAUAACAGCGCAAUCCACUUCAAGAGCUCCUAUCGACAAGUGGGUUUACGACCUCGAUGUUGGAUCAGGGUAUCCCAGUGGUGCAGCCGCUACUAAUGGUUCGUUUGUUCAACGAUUAAAACCCUA